GCGAGCAGCAGUCCUCGGGGAAGGCGCUCCGCUUAUGCUUAGAUUCUUUCUCAUUUGUUCGGAGCUGGAUCCGCCAUGGCCCUUGGUUGGACUACUAUCACCGGAAUACUCAGACGGCUUGGAGGUAAUGAUUAUGCUGCCAACAUUCCGUGAACUGGCUUUGCUGGAUGCCGUGCUGCAUGGGGAACUCUUUUGCUCACUUUGACACCAAUCACAUAUUUCGAUCGGCUUCGAUGAUUUCAUGUAGUUGUUGCUACAAUACCUAUUAGCAAUUGUAAUAACAUAUUUAUAUAUUUACGGAUGCCAAGAUCUCGAUACGCAUAUUAUAUACAUGUGUCGAAAUAAACUUAAUCAAGAAAGGACAGAUGCACAUGGAUUACAUAGUUCUACGCUAAAGUAAUAGGACGACUUAACAUAAACUAACAUGUAAGAUAUAGAAGAAAAAAUCAAAUAUAUAGCUAACGAUAAUGCAGUUAAGGAUGAGUUGGGCAGCCUAGAUUUUCCUAUUUAACGAAUCAAGCACGGAAGCCGUUCGCAUGUUAGAUGUUUUUUCACGUGUACUACACUUAGUACAUAGAGUAAACCACCGAAUGUCAUACUAUACAUAUAUAGCAAGAAUUCGUCCUGACAAUUAAGGAGGAAGGUUCGAGAGAAGAAGUUAAUGUGUGAUAGUCAACUAUCGAAUAUCAUUCUAUAGAUGUGGCAAGAAUUUGUCCUGACAAUUAAGGAGAGAGAUUUGAGACAAAAAGCUAAUGCGUCAAUCAACUACUGAAUGUUAUUCUAUACGUAUAUCUAAGCAUAUAUAGCAAGAAUUCAUCCUGAAAAUAAAGGAGAGAGAUUUGAGAAAGGAAUCAACGUGUGCGUGAAUAUUUAAAUUUUUGACGCUUAGAUUUCUGAUCAUAUGCACAAUGGCUUGAAUUGCGUUGGAUUAAAUGAGUAAACAGAAGUUUUCGAGCUAUUGUCCUCUAUAAACUUACAGUCGUUUCUCAUGCUCCCGUAUAUAUACUCAGAUACGCGGGUUUAUAAUAUACUUUUGUUUUCCGACAAUAUAUUUCAUCCUUAAACUCUAACCGGGGAGAAUAAGUUCACAAAAAAAAAAUAACUGCAAUCAUUACGAGAAAAACGGCUAAGUCCUCCGGACUACUUAGGAAAUUUACAAUUAGUUACGGAUCAUCGUAGACUAUUCAUAACCGACGAUUCGACAAACUAUCACAAAAAAAUAUGUAUACAUGAUAUAUGCGAAGAAAAGAUAUGAGAAAGCGCAUACGAGUGCUGGAAGCGAUAGAGGCAGCUGCUGCAACGGAAGAGCUCGACGGAAAAGCCUACGUCACCACACAUACAACACACACUGGGCUUGCCAUCUUCCAUUUUUCUUCAACCUUGAAGCACAUCAAUCAGAUUUAUAUAACAUAAAUUAGGAGCAGCGAGAUUUGUAUAGAAGAAAGAGAAAGGGAGAGACUUAAGAGAUAAGUAUAUGUAUGGCGUGCUGGCCGAGUGCAUAGGUGUGUGGGGGAAAGGGAUAUAUAAUUGAAUUUGGAGAACAAGCUAGCAGACCGUAACGCGUACGUGCAGUCCUUUUCAGUUGCUGAAUUUAGGAGAUAUACAUGCAUGUUAGAUUAUUGUUGUUUAUGAGUAAUUCAACAGAAAAGUGUGGAAAAUCAAAUUAUUUCGAUUACUUUCCUGGCGUUUGUCAUGGGCUGCGUCUUUUCCUUUUAAGAAGAACAAUCCAACGUCAAGGGUCACGCUCAUUUAAAGUACUUUUCAACUUUCAUUUUACCAGUCCGUAUGGUGAAAUUUCUUCGGUGUUGCUUAGUUUUUGUUGCAUAUUUUGAAAUGUCCACGGCAGUUCACUGAAAAUAUAUUUAUUUUCAGUAUAUGAAUCGAAUUUUUCUUAUAUUUUAGUUUGUCAAAAAUAUUUUAGAUAUUAUUUGUUACUACGUUUUAAAAUCAAUUAUGUGUAGUUCCUACUGAAGAAAGGACUAUUAUCAAUAUCAAGUUAAGUGUAUUAUAUUCUUAAAUUUAAAAAUGCACAGAAAUAAUUGGAUGUUUGCAUCAUCAAUUAAACUGAUUUGAAAGCAUAGUUUAAGCUAAGGACUUAACACGAGUGGAAAAUUUAAGAUUCAAAAUCCUGAUAAAAGGGUCAGUCAUAACAAAUAAUACUCCGUAUGAUUUAACUCUAACAUAAUAACUGUGAUAUAACUGGCCCUUUUACGCACUUGAAUAUUACCUAGAUGCUAUAGGACAUUUACAUAUUGCUUAUGUGGACAUAGUAGCUAAAUAAUCCCAACGCGUUACAUGAGAUAAAUAUUGUAUAAUUGUUCAGUUUUCCGCAAUUUUUUCCAUCUCUUUAUAUAAAUAACCCAAUAUUGUUUCACAGUUAAUAACAUCUUCACCAUCUACAAUAGUUAUGAUGAGUCGAAGAACAUCGUGCUUUGAUGGGUGCUGACGAUUAUAAGAUCAUUUCGUGUAGCUACAAUUUGGAUAAAUACUCUAUAUAAUGUAUAUUUAAAAUUCAAGAUUAUGUGAUUAUUUUACAUAAAUGAAACAAUAAUAAUAAUAAAUAUUUAUAUAACAUGUAAAUGUGAGAUAUGGCAUGCUAGUUCUCAUUUGAGCCUUAUCAUAGUAAACAAUGAAAGAUAAAUACAUAUUAAUUUCAUAUAUCAAACUAGAAAAUUUGCAAAAAUCAACUAAAAUUUUAAAAUAAUAAAAUUUCGCAUAAACAAACUAAGAUAUGUUGGAGAUUCCGUUGCACCGCCAACAUAUUAGUUAGACCCGGGAUGCGUAGGUAUUCUGUUUAUUUAAACUUUGAAAGGACCUCAAACCAUUAUAUUUGUAAUUUGGAAAUGUAGAGAUCGAUUGAUCGGGGAAAAAAACGAAGAAUAGCAACAGAGACCUCCCGGUGAUGAGUCUCAACACCACCUCAGUUCAUCAUAGGAGUUCUCUCUCUAUAGGUUCUAAUCGACAGGAUCACUUAUUUUAGAAGAUUUCGUGCAUUGAAACCAUUAGAAUAAGUGAACCAAAGAAAACCAUAAUCUUUAUUAUGGUGUCUUAGCUCACUUAUGUAGAAUUGAAUAGUAUGGAAAUGCAAUCAUUUCCUCUGCAUUGACAUGAUCUGAUGCCAUCGGAGUGACACAAGCGAUUUAAAAAAAAACGAGACUAGACUAUAUUGGUAAGAAGUAAUCCCUAUGUGUGUGUAAAAAGUAUCCCAAAUGUUUUUUACUCCCUCCAUCCCAUUUUAAGUGUCCUGUUUGACUUUUGAAUGGUCAAAUUGAUCAAAUUUUGAUUGAGAUUCACACAUAUAAUAUAAUUUUGAAAAAUAAAAAAAUUAUAUCAUUAUAAAGUACAUACAAUAUACUAUAAAAUGUAAUUUUUAUUUUUUAAAAAUAAUAACAAUUUUGUUUUUUAUACUUGGUCAAAAUUUGGUCAGUUUGACUGUUGAAAGUCAAAACAGAACACUUAAAAUGGGAUGAAGGGAGUAUUUGGUAGACGGAAAAUGCUACAUGCACAGAAUUGGGUACAGAAAUAUUCACAGAAUGAGUAUGUGUUAACUUGUGAUUGGAAUGGCCCCGCUGCACAUGCAUUAAUAGCACCAAUUAAAACUCCCCACCUAGAUUGCCAUGUCAUUUUGUGUAAAAUUAUGUACCCAAUUUUGUGCAUGUAGCACUACUCUUGGUAGACCCGGGUGUUUAGACAGGGCAGUCAUGCAUGAAGUUCAUCCACAUCCGUCCCCAAUAUCAUAUACUUCUUACAUUUUCUUAUAUUUACUCAUUUUUAAUCAAAUUUAUUAUAUCUAUUAACACACUUCUAAAAAUUUUGAAGGCAUAAUUUAACUUAUUACAUUUUAACCUUAUUUUAAUAAAAUAAAAAUAUGUAAAUAAUAUUUUAAAAUUCAUGAUUUUUAUAAAAUAUAAUGAUAUAUAUUAAUCAUAUGAUCAGAAUUAUGUAUUAAAAAUCAAACGAUUUGAUUAUAAAGACCGGGGGCAAUGGGGCUUUUUGGGUGAAAUAUAAAAUUAAGUGUUUCUUGUUUAAAGUAAAAAGGCGAAAUGGAAGUUGGAAACAAAUUAAAACUUAUAAGUGAUUAAAAUGUUUGGAAAAAAGUAGAAAUCAUGAAACAAAAACUAGUAUUCUCAAUUUUUUUAUACGUACUUCUUGAUUUUCUACACGGUACAAAUAAAUGCUUAAAACUUAUAAAACGAGAAAGUGGGCUUUCAAACCCCGGCGAAACACCCUCAUUAUGUAAUUCAUUCUCUAUCUGUGCAUGGAUUCUGUAUGUUCUAUAUGUACAGCAUGAAGAGUGAAGACCAGGAACAUUUUAAUUUACAAGAUGCAAGGUAUUAUUUAAAAAAUGUUCACGAAUUGUAUUGUGCAGAAAAAGUACUAUAUAUUGUUACCCAAGACCACAAAAAUUUCAAACACGAGACUCCUAAUUUCGAGACAGCAGCUGCGAGCAUUAAUUUGCCGACUACUAAGGAAACUUGGACUUGAGUACCACGUGCAUACGUACUCGUCUACUAGAGGAAAAACUCCAAUCAAACGAGAUAAAAUGUGAUUCAUGCACUACCACAAUUUAAUAUCAUCCUUUCAAGUAGCCAUUUUUCAAGCACAUGCCUCCAAGAUCUAAAUAAAGUUGCAUGUACUAUAUCAUGUUUUGUCUAGAUCAUUUGUUACAUGACGUUGCUUUGGUCUUUGGUUACAUGAUACAUGCAGGACUCUAUACCUAAAUUAUUCAUAUAUUAGAAAAUCGGUGAUUUACACACUACCGACCAGACUAUUUAUUGGAUGUACAAUAUUAUUAUUACCGAGUUUGCGGUCAGAUUCUAAUUAUUUAAAUGCACAGUAUCACAUCACUAGAUUGUAAAUAUUUUGCUUAGGUCUUAAUUAGUUACAUGAUACAUGUACGACUUCUUUACAUAAAUUGUUUCGCAUAUUAGAAAACAUGAGAACCACCGAUCAGACUCAUUUUAUUGCAGCGCCGAUCAUUUGGAGUAACAACCUAAGGUAGAAACUUAGGUACAGUAUCAUUCGAAUUUAACACUUAACAUCCUUAAGAAGCUUGUACCUGCGAGCAACAGUCCUUGGGGAAGGCACUCCACUAACAAUUAUAUUCUUUCUCAUGUGGCUGGAGCCGCUGUGCCCCUUGGUCGGACUACUGUCACCCGAAUACUCCGACGGCUUGGAGGUGAUGAUCAUGCUGCCAACAUCCCGGGAACUGGCUUUGCUCGAGGCCGCGCUGCACGGAGAACUUUUCUGCUCACUUAAACACCAAUCGCAAAUCUCAGUCGGCUCCGAUGAUUUCACGUAGU
rnacentral:lncRNA from 1 species